GGUGGCUCAGCGGUAGAGCUCUUGCCUAGCAUGCAUGAGGCCCUGGGUUCCAUUCCUCAGCACCA
rnacentral:tRNA from 1 species